CACGUGACCCGCUUUACUGUAACUCACCUGUGUGUCACGUGAACCACAUGACUGUGACGUCAUCGAUGCCCAACUUUCAUUUGAAGUGUUUUAUGGGAAUGAAAACUACUGCGAGCUGAAAAAAUGGGAUGCUGUUUCUCCUCUCCCGAUGGAGACGAUGAGAGAGAACCUUUGAUUCAGUCCAACAAUAAAACACCAACUGAGUCUGCAAGACCACCACGACCAGCUGCUAACGAUCAGAGGAGUGGCAGUUUUACUGCUCGUUGUGUUGGUGUUCCUGGUCUCGAUGAGCGAUUCACUGAUGUUGCAGAAACCUUCAACAAACAGCAGGAACACUAUGAAUCAAUGAAGAACAAGCUUCAGACUCUUGCAAGCCGCUAUCACUGUCCAAUAAACGACAGUCUGUCUGAAUGCCUGAGGAAAAUCAAGGAGAAACAUGAGCUCUGCCACAUCAGUCUGGAGGUUAAAGGAUACGACUUCAGUCUGAUGGUGAGAUCAGAGGCCGAAAUCCCCAGUGAACUGAAGCGGACGCAGGAGAACGUCACCGAGCUGAGCCGAGCCGCCAAAUCCGUCAUCUCCGUCAGCACCAAACUCCACGAAAUGAUCGACUCGCUUCUGAGAGCCGAGGACAGCAUGAUCCGUCAGAUCGAAGAUGCUGAAUCCAGACACCAGGAGCAAAAGAGGCUGCUGGACAACCUGCGAGCAAACCUCAGAGAGGCUCGGAGAGCCAAAGAACUGAGUCCGAAGUACAGGAAAGAGGCUGGAAAUCUCCUCAAUGAGGCCGCAUUGCUCUCUGGAAUCACACCGUGAACUGACUUGGUCUCUUAAUGUGAGCUAAUAGCAAAUGUGAAGGAUUUUAUAAUGUUAAACCAUGAAUAGACGCAGAGGCGGACAGUAGUGAAGUAUUUUUACUCUGUGUCUGUACUUCAUCAGAGUGUUUUUCUUUAGAAAACCUCACUGCACGACAUUCCAAAGCAUAAUAUUGUACUUUUUACUGCACUACGUUUCAUAUUAAAUGUCAUUUAAUACUUAAUUACAUUAG
rnacentral:lncRNA from 1 species